rnacentral:rRNA from 1 species
GAUGAACGCUAGCUACAGGCUUAACACAUGCAAGUCGAGGGGUAACAAGAGGAAAGCUUGCUUUCCUUGUUGACGACCGGCGCACGGGUGAGUAACGCGUAUCAAACCUGCCUAUAACUAGGGAAUAACCUUGCGAAAGUAAGACUAAUGCCCUAUGACUUCCUUUGGCGGCAUCAAAAAAGGAAUAAAGAUUUAUCGGUUAUAGAUGGGGAGGCGUCUGAUUAGCUUGUUGGCGGGGUAACGGCCCACCAAGGCAACGAUCAGUAGGGGUUCUGAGAGGAAGGUCCCCCACAUUGGAACUGAGACACGGUCCAAACUCCUACGGGAGGCAGCAGUGAGGAAUAUUGGCCAAUGGGCGGAAGCCUGAACCAGCCAAGUAGCGUGCAGGAUGACGGCCCUAUGGGUUGUAAACUGCUUUUAUACAGGAAUAAAGUUAGCCACGUGUGGUUAUUUGUAGGUACUGUAUGAAUAAGGACCGGCUAAUUCCGUGCCAGCAGCCGCGGUAA